CAUCCAUGCUACUAGCCCAAGCAUCUCAAGUACAAAUGGCCGCUGAAGAAAACGUCAAUCGUCCACCCUUCAUGGUUGCCAGUACACUGACAGUGAAAUGUUAUGGCCAACUUGGUACUUCCUAUCCUUCAACUAUUUUCGUCCGCACCACCCGCUCUAAUAUAGAUUUGUGGUUUGUGACUUGGCAGUACGCGGUGGCGCCAAAUUAAAAUUUUUAUACACAAUUGCGCUCUUUGCGGCCAAACCACAUACUGCGAUGCCAGGGGGGUUAAAAGUCAUUAGGAAGC